rnacentral:misc_RNA from 1 species
UCCUUUAUUGGUAGAGACGAUAUCGCCCUGCUGAAGGCUCUGGUCAUUCAUAACGGUCGACGAUGCUUCCUCGGCAACUUUCUCGGCGGAGCGGUCCGGACGCUGCAGCUUUCCUGAUUUUGCCAGAGCAAUGAAUUCGCGGGCGCGCAGCUUCGCCUGGUUAACGCGCUCCCUCCACUCAUCGCGUGUCAACGUCUCGGCUUCGAUCCGCAAGCUUUCGGCGUCGGUUUGAGCAUCUGACGCCGUGCACAAGCUGAUCAAUGCAGCAGCGAUUGCGCAGACGGUUAGAGCCGUUGUGAAAACGCGCAUAAGAUCAAAUCGUCCGAGUCCGUUGGGAUAAUAGACGGGGUCAGGAACGGAAAUUAAAGAU